CAUUUUGAAGUAUACCACCUCUUUCGUAGUUAGUCUUAUAUUUUGGCGAUUCUCGUUCUUGUUUUGUUUGGCUUAUUUUGGUCCGUCUUUGUUCGUUUUAUGAACAAUUGGACGGUUGAGUAGGGUGUUUUGUGUCUUGUUGCUGUGCUGCGGUGGCGGUGCUUCCUCUUGAACGGUGCUUUUGUCGUUUCCUCGGAAGGAGUGGUGAGGAGUUGCUAAGCUUCGGCAAAUGUUUCUUGACGGUGACGUUGAGCGGUGGUUUUUGUCUUUUAUGUUUUACGUUUUAUUUUCUUUUGCAUGUUUUUCACGUUCUUUCUUUUCUUUAGUCGUUAUUUUAGGUUUUAACAUUUAAUUGGUAGUUACUGGCUUUUAUUGACGUCGUCUUUGGUGUUUGUUGUUUCUGUUUCUUUUGCUUUUGCUUUUAGUUUUCUCCGUUGUGCUUCCCUUCGCCUUCUGAUCAGGGUGUCUGUUCCGUUCGAAGCAGAAGGUGGGACGUCUACGCUCUUUCUUGGUGUUCUUUAAAGACUGGUCCCCUUAAGCUUGCGUUCGCCUCUUGAUCGGUGUUGAUGCGACUGGGUGGUUUUGCUUCGUUCUCUUCUUGUUUUCCUUUCUAUUGGUGAACUGAUCGGGGGAUGAUUCGCUCUCGGUGUUUUGGGGUGGACGUUUUCUUGGUUUCUCUUUGACGGCUGGUGCAUCUGGGCUGGUGUUGCUUCGGAUUGUUGGUGGAGGUCCUCCUGCCCGGGCUUCUCCUCUGUUCUUUUUUUUCUCGUUUAGACUGUUUAAUUUUUUCUGUUUUUUGUAUUUUGUUCCAGUUUUGAUGUUUUGUAUAUGGACUGUAUAAGGGACUGUUUAAUUUUGUUUUGGUGAGAUUUUUCCCUUUUGUUUCGUUUGUUCUUGUGAUUGCUUGGUUUUUUCGAUUGUUUUCUGUUCAUGGUGUUUUUCUGCUGUAGUUUUAAGUUUCUUUCUUAUUGUUUGGUUCUUGUGCGGUUUGCUCUACUUUCUUGUGUCUUUUGUCUUUGGUGUCGUGGUUCAGUGGCUCUUUCCGGCGGGGGUUGGGGGAGGUGGCCCCUGUUUGGAUUUGAUGUUCUUGGCGCUUUUUUCUUCGACGGAGUGCGCACCUGACACGGGUGGUGAUACGGGAGUGGCGGUGGAGGCCUUCUUGCUCGUGCUGCCUUCUUCAUUCGGAAUUAUUUAUUUUAUUCAUUUUUUGCAUUUCACUGUAAAGCUAGUUUUAUUGUUUGGGAUGUAAAAGGACCGUACAGGGACUGUUUUUAUAAUUUUCUUUUUUCA